GUGCCAGCAGCCGCGGUAAUACGUAGGUGGCAAGCGUUGUCCGGAUUUACUGGGCGUAAAGGGCGCGUAGGCGGAUAUUUAAGUGGGAUGUGAAAUACCCGGGCUUAACCUGGGUGCUGCAUUCCAAACUGGAUAUCUAGAGUGCAGGAGAGGAAAGGGGAAUUCCUAGUGUAGCGGUGAAAUGCGUAGAGAUUAGGAAGAAGACCAGUGGCGAAGGCGCCUUCCUGGACUGUAACUGACACUGAGGCGCGAA
rnacentral:rRNA from 1 species